rnacentral:rRNA from 1 species
AAUAUUGGACAAUGGGCGCAAGCCUGAUCCAGCCAUACCGCGUGGGUGAAGAAGGCCNNNGGGUUNUCAAGCCCUUUUGUUGGNAACNAAAUCCAGCUGGCUAAUACCCGGUUGUGAUGACGGUACCCAAAGAAUAAGCACCGGCUAACUUCGUCCCAUCAGCCGCGGUAAUACGAAGGGUGCAAGCGUUACUCGGAAUUACUGGGCGUAAAGCGUGCGUAGGUGGUCGUUUAAGUCCGUUGUGAAAGCCCUGGGCUCAACCUGGGAACUGCAGUGGAUACUGGGCAACUAGAAUGUGGUAGAGGGUAGCGGAAUUACUGGUGUAGCAGUGAAAUGCGUAGAGAUCAGGAGGAACAUCCAUGGCGAAGGCAGCUACCUGGACCAACAUUGACACUGAGGCACGAAAGCGUGGGGAGCAAAC